rnacentral:rRNA from 1 species
GACGUAGGGUGCAAGCGUUGUCCGGAAUCAUUGGGCGUAAAGCGCGCGUAGGCGGCCCGAUAAGUCCGCUGUAAAAGUCAACGGCUCAACUGUUGAAAGCCGGUGGAUACUGUCGGGCUAGAGUACGGAAGAGGCAAGUGGAAUUCCUGGUGUAGCGGUGGAAUGCGCAGAUAUCAGGAGGAACACCUAUAGCGAAGGCAGCUUGCUGGGAUGUUACUGACGCUAAGGCACGAAAGCGUGGGGAGCGAACAGG